GACGAACGCUGGCGGCGUGCUUAACACAUGCAAGUCGAACGGAAAGGCCCUUCGGGGUACUCGAGUGGCGAACGGGUGAGUAACACGUGGGUGAUCUGCUCUGCACUUUGGGAUAAGCCUGGGAAACUGGGUCUAAUACCGAAUAGGACCACGCGCUUCAUGGUGUGUGGGGGCAAGCUUUUGCGGUGUGGGAUGGGCCCGCGGCGUAUCAGCUUGUUGGUGGGGUAAUGGCCUCCCAAGGCGACGACGGGUAGCCGGCCUGUGAGGGUGACCGGCCACACUGGGACUGAGGUACGGCCCAGACUGCUACGGGAGGCAGCAGUGGGGAAUAUUGCACAAUGGGCGCAAGCCUGAUGCAGCGACGCCGCGUGAGGGAUGACGGCCUUCGGGUUGUAAACCUCUUUCAAUAGGGACGAAGCGGAAGUGACGGUACCUAUAGAAGAAGCACCGGCCAACUACGUG
rnacentral:rRNA from 1 species